CUAGUUCAGCCAUUAACUUUGUGGAAGAUUGAAUAUUAACUUGUGUGGUGGUAAAUGACCCCACACCUAGGCCACAAGGAAGCAAUCCAAACAAAGCAUUUCUAUGCCAGUCAGUUGAUAGGAAGCUGUGAUAAGAUGGUUUAUAACUGGUAGCAGGGGAGGGGGGAGGGUUUAGUCUGUUCAGAAAGCCGGUGGACUAAGAAGACUAGUGUCUGAAUUCUGACCAUUUUUCAAACAUGGGAUGCACAACGAGCUUUGACGUGAAGUCGCAGGACCCUCCGACAGACCCUGCAGCUUCUGCUGAUGAGGGGCAGGAGCAAACCGUUGUGGACGAUUUGGAACAGCUUGACACUAAAUCAAACAAACCACAACCUGACUUGCAAGCAGAGAACAUAGAGAAUGCAGCAGAAACAAAGGAAGAGUAGCAGAAUAAGAAUGUAAAGAUGACUUCAGUUUAUGUGCAAGAUGCAACUGGAUACCUCUGCUGUGCCUGCUUUUAAACCUAUUGUGAUUGAUAGGCUGUUUCCAUCCCAUCAUACAGAACUCAAAGAUGAUUCCCAGAGUACUUCCUGAACAAAUGGACUGCAAAGCUCCCUUGGGAAUAAAGCGUUAAUAAAAUAUGAAAUGCAAACAUAGCAGAAUAACUGUUAUAAAAUGUCUAUUUAUAUUUAAUAUACCCUUUGAAAUACAAGAACACAUUAAAUCAAAAUAGAAAAUAUAUUUAAAAUAUGCUGUUAACCUGCUUUUCAAAGACAAACCGACAAAAUCCAAACAAAACAAUAAAAUAACACUUUUUUUUUCCUUUCUGAGAAUAAUUAAAGAGCUAUGGGUUUGAAAUAUCAGAAUGUAUUCUUCAUGUUAAGAAUCAAGUCAUACAUUUUCUGUAUAGCAUGUUUAUGUUAUCACAUCCUGGUGAUUUUUUAAAAC